GCCCCUAUAGCUCAGUGGUAGAGCGUUGCACUUGUAACCCUGAAAUAUCAAUUUCUCGACAUGCAAAGGUCCAUUGUUCAAUCCAGUGUGGGGGCA
rfam:Penicillium marneffei ATCC 18224 scf_1105668340758 genomic scaffold, whole genome shotgun sequence.